CCUACGGGUGGCAGCAGUGAGGAAUAUUGGUCAAUGGACGAGAGUCUGAACCAGCCAAGUAGCGUGAAGGAUGACUGCCCUAUGGGUUGUAAACUUCUUUUAUAUGGGAAUAAAAUGUUCCACGUGUGGGAUUUUGUAUGUACCAUAUGAAUAAGGAUCGGCUAACUCCGUGCCAGCAGCCGCGGUAAUACGGAGGAUCCGAGCGUUAUCCGGAUUUAUUGGGUUUAAAGGGAGCGUAGGUGGAUUGUUAAGUCAGUUGUGAAAGUUUGCGGCCCAACCGUAAAAUUGCAGUUGAAACUGGCAGUCUUGAGUACAGUAGAGGUGGGCGGAAUUCGUGGUGUAGCGGUGAAAUGCUUAGAUAUCACGAAGAACUCCGAUUGCGAAGGCAGUUCACUGGACUGCAACUGACACUGAGGCUCGAAAGUGUGGGUAUCAAACAGGAUUAGAUACCCUUGUAGUC
rnacentral:rRNA from 1 species